rnacentral:lncRNA from 1 species
CAGGUGCAAGACCUUGCACUUGGCUUUGUUGUACCUCAUGAGGUUCACCUGGACUCAGUGCUCGAGACUGUCUAGGUCUCUCUGCAUGGCAUCCUGUUCACAUAUAGCAGUUCAAAGCUUAGUUUUUAGUUGUGAAAAUCACAGUAAAUUGCACGGAAAUUAAGCAGUGUAUGAAUAAACUUUUUUAGAGGAGAAAUCACUUGUGUAUGCAGUUGUUGAAUUGAAGGGGAAAAGGAAUAUCAAUGCAGGACAAGUAAGUAAGUGUUAAAUUUACAGAUUAAACAUUCCUUUUAUUGGGAGUGACCUGUA